ACUUCAGUACAGAUGAAGAUACUAUAACUUGCCAGGAAUCACCCAACUGGGGGAUAGGGGAAGACCCAAGACUCAAACUAGCUCUAAGUUUGGGUGUCUCCUUUCACAAGGAAGAGCUGCUUUUCUUUUGUGUAAGAGCAAUCAAGUAGCAGAUAAGUAAUUACUGCUGUGUAUUUGCCCAAGACUUCUGUCCUGCUUCUGCAGGUCUGCCUCUAAGUAACAGCAGCAUCUGUGUUACUCAUUUAUCAUCCAUCACGUCCAGCUUGGGGACUGAAUUGUGAUGACUGUUACCUAGAGAUGUGUGCAGAACAGCUGUAUUCCAGGCUUUGCAGUUGGUGAUUUUCUUUUGCCCGUUACGGUGGGCUCAGUCACAGUGAGAAUACUAAUGGAGCUGCUCGGGAAGCCACAUGGGAGCUUGGUCGCACGGCAGAGACACUAACAGCAAAGUGACAGGGCAGGCAGCAAGCUGGGAUAUGGUUGCUCCUAUCUUGGGAAAGGCCUGGACAGCAGCAAAGAAACAGGCUCAGACAGAAGUGCCAGAGAUGGGAUGUGCAACUGCGUGUCGAACGACAUCCUGCAUUCCCAGCAGAAAACAAUGUCAGCCAUAUUCACACCAGACUGGGGACUCUAGCAGAAGGAAGACACACUCCAUUUUGUUAUUUGCUCCAGUAUGAAAGGUUUUGGUGAGAGAGAAAGCCUGUCAUAUUAGGAGGAGUGCGUUCCUGUGUGCAAUGAAUACUACUAAAGGUACUUUAAGGGAUUGUAAACUUAACAUUGCCUGUCCACUCUUUGCACUGCUGUGUUUCCAAUGAUUAAAAGAAUUGCUCCUGCUAUCUUUUCUGUUUGGCUUUGUUAAUACACAUCUUUAAUUUUAAAUCGUUUUGAAAAACAGAAUUCACACCUAAUGAGAAAACCUUUCCUUAUGGAAGCAAUUUCUCUUGAGCCAGUUAGAAAUUGUAAAAUUCUAUCUUGGCUUCAGUUCCACAACAUUAAAAAUAUACUAUG
rnacentral:lncRNA from 1 species